rnacentral:piRNA from 1 species
UNCAGCCCAAUUCAAACCUUCUAUCUUGC